GCCUGGGUAGCUCAGACGGUAGAGCAUCAGACUCUUAAUCUGAGGGUCUAGGGUUCAAGUCCCUGUUCAGGUGGUUCCA
rnacentral:tRNA from 1 species